rnacentral:lncRNA from 10 species
GCGUGAUGUGCAGCAUUACCAGAUGAGACUUCCUCUUUACUGGGGAUCUUUCCUGAGCCUUGGGGGAGCUGCUCACCAUGAAUCCCAGGCUUCUGUUUGUCCUUGCUGCCUUUCUGAAUUCAGGAGCAGUUUGGUUUGACAGUUCUGAUUCUAGGAUUUUCAUGAGGUUGGCGUCAGAUCUCAGCUGGAGCUGCAGGCAUCUGAUGGUUUGAAGUUGGAGGAUCCAUCCCCAAGGAAAACAAAACAAAACUUCUGGAAUGCCUCUUCAUCUGUACUUAACAUCUGAAGCCUCUUCCACCUGAAUGAUGAAGAUGUCAAAUAUUCUCAGCCUCAAAUUAAUGUGUCAAGUACAUUGGAUUUGUAUCUUUGUGUUCUUUCCUAUCUUCUUAAAAAAUUGUGCUAAUUACAUUUUCAAAAAUUGUUGUUUUUCUAACAUAUUGGUUACAAUAUCAAUAUAUGUGGCUUAAUAAAAUAGUCUCUGAGAACAUGUGCUUUUCUGAAUGUGUCAGGUGGCAGCUUGCUUUUAACAAUAUUGUAAGUUUUUAUAAUCAGAUUUAAAUUGUGUUUAUCUAAAAUAUUUAUGAACAUUGAAUUUAUGGUGAACAAAGCAGAGUCUUCUUUCAAAUCGCAUGUAGUUAUGUUUCAAAUAUGUGAAAUUUUUGAAUACUUCAUUAAAAUUUUAUUUUAAUAGAACACAUUAAAU